UUCCAAAUUUAUCUUCAUAUCUAUUGAAUAUAAGUAUCUUUCUUCUUCAUUUCGUAUCCAAAAGUUUUAUUUGUUCUCUCUUUCCAGACAAAACCACCACCGUGUUCAUCAUCGUUCUCACCAGCAUCACCUCCAUCCCUAUCUUUGUCAUGGCUACCACAACUAGCACCGCCACCACCAUCUCAGAAUCAGAGAAAGAAAUUUAACAGAGAUUCGAGAUUGAGAAAGAGAUCUUCGAUUGAAAAUCAAACUAAACCCAUCACCACCAUCUCCGACACCACUAUCACCAUCUCCAUCUACUUCCAUCACGAAAAAUCUAUUGAACCAGACUCCACCACCAUAUCUCCAUCUCGUCUCCACCUCUACCACCACCAAAAAUCAACCUGAUCCCACUACCAGCACCAGCACCACCAUCACCACCACCAUCUCCUCUUAAAUAGUCGAUUUAGAUCGAUUGUUACUUGAUUCAGCUACAAAAAUAAAUCUAGUCACAAAUCAACAAGAAACCUAAUUUCCGAGCUUAGAUUUAUUUCGAUUUCAAUUGAAUCUGGCUUGAAGACCUAAUAUCGAUGAUAACAAUGUCACUAAUUAAGGAAGAUGAUAUCGCUAAUAUACUUGAGGGUGAUUUAACUAGUGAUUUUCCUGAUCGUGAAUAUUCUUGUUGAGUUGUCGGCAAUGUCUCCUUUGGCCUAUGGUACUACUAUGGGCAGUGGUAAUGCAAACCAGUUAUUGGUAAUCUUCUUAGAUAGUGCUUUGUAAGUCUAAUUGAGUGGAUAUAUACCUUUUUGUACAUAUGGAUAACAAAUUUUAUAUGUUUGCAUGAAACCUUACUAUUAUUAAGGGUGGGGGUGGUGGAGGCAGCCAUCUUCAUUAGAAAAUAUUUUUGGACUUCAGUUUUUAUGGGAUCAACCACUGUCGUUGAUCCAAUUUAUGGGAUUAACUAUUGUUGUUGAUCCAAUAUAUGGGAUCAACUCCUGUUGUUGACUCCAUUUUUUUAUGGGAUCAACUCUUAUUGCUGAUAGCAUUUCUUGGAUUAGUAUAAGUAUGCUUGUUGUUUAAAUACUUUGAUUUUUAUAGAUGUAAUUACUCAAAAUGUUGAAUUUGUGGUGCAAUGGUAGCAUGACUGACUCUACGUCAGAUGAUGCGUGUUCGACUCACGCUAAGUUCACUUAUUCGGUUAUGUCAUUUUUUUUAUGUCAAACUUGGUUGUUGUAGGCUAAAGAUGGUUGUUGCAGAGUUUAGAUUUUUGCAAUCUGGGCGUCUAAUGUCAUUAAUAACGAUUUUGGAUUUGAGAUUUUUGAUUCACUGCUCUAGCACGAAAGGGCUUCACAUGUUGAAGUUCAUUCACUACAGCUUUUUUUUUUUUUUGCAUAUUUUUAGGUUUCAUAUUAGUGGGAUGUUUCUUUUUUUUUUAUGCAUUUUAGUUUGGACUUGUUUAGUUUUGUAAUGACAAACAUUCUGAUUUUUUUAAUGAAUGUUAUUCUUGUGUUUC